AAUAUUGCACAAUGGGGGAAACCCUGAUGCAGCGACGCCGCGUUAGCGAAGAAGGCCUUCGGGUCGUAAGGCGCUGUCCUAAGGGAAGAAACGGACUGUACCUUAGGAUGAAGCCCCGGCAAACUACGUGCCAGCAGCCGCGGUAAUACGAAGGGUGCGAGCGUUGUCCGGAAUUACUGGGCGUAAAGGGUACGUAGGCGGCUAUAUAAGUCAGGUGUGAAAUACCAGUGCUUAACACUGGAAUUGCAUUUGAAACUGUGUAGCUUGAGGGCAGGAGAGGAAAGUGGAAUUCCUAGUGUAGCGGUGAAAUGCGUAGAGAUUAGGAGGAACACCAGUGGCGAAGGCGACUUUCUGGACUGUAACUGACGCUGAGGUACGAAAGCGUGGGUAGCGAACA
rnacentral:rRNA from 1 species